AUUAAAAGAACUCAGACUAAAAACGUCACACCUGUGGCAACGUCUGAGUGGCCCGCAUCGUGCGGA
rnacentral:sRNA from 1 species